rfam:Saccharomyces kudriavzevii IFO 1802 unplaced genomic scaffold c1726, whole genome shotgun sequence.
UAAUAUGAUGAUCAAUUUUCUUAUAUCAAUAACUUUCGUUCUACUGACUGUGAUCAAACGAUCUUGUAGAGACCUUUUACCCUGAAU